ensembl:rRNA 5S_rRNA 5S ribosomal RNA
GUCUAUGGCCAUGCCACCCUAGACAUGCCUGAUCCCGUCUGAUCUUGGAAGCUAAGCAGGGUUGGACCUGAUUAGUGCUUGGCUGGGAGACUACCAAGGAAGACCAGGUGCUGUAGGCA